ensembl:lncRNA
CUCACCCAGUCACGUGCCUACUGUUGCUGCCCCCAUCUAGUAGAAUGAACUCUGGAGAGAAAAUCAUGGUUUAAAACACCGACUUUGUUACUAAUAACUCAAAUGGCCUUGAACUAGCCUCUUUCUCUUUGCGUCUCAGUGUUCUUAUCUGUGAUAUGGGGGAAGUUGGACUAGAUGACCUCUAAAUCCUCUGCUGUUCUUUGUCCCACACGUGCAGAGGAAUACCAGCAUUCCUCUGUCCUUGAGACUGAUAAGAUAUAGAGCUAGCACUAGCCUUGCAUACCAUAGAUAUUGGAGGAAGAUGUAACUUGUUUUUUAUUUGAUUUGAUUCCCUGCCUGCUGAAAGGGCUUGAGUUUGUAUAUCUCCUGAACAAAACAGAAGCACCCCGCUUGCUGUGUGGUAUGUCUCAACCCCUAGAGGCUUCAUGUUCCCCAAAUCUGCUGGGAAAAGGUUCUUCUUUUGACUUCGCAUCUGUCCCUCUGGACCCGUCUGCUGACUCCAGCUCCAUCUGAUGUGAUAAGUGUCUGCUUUGACCUAUGUAAACAAGAGGUGAAUGAAGAUUGAGACAGAAUGGACCAAGCUUCAACCUUCUGCAUUUCGAAGGAAUCCUUACACCCCUUUGAACCACCUCUUUCUGAUGUUACCCAGCAUAAGAACGUGGCCUCCUGCUCUCCUUUUCUGGCUUGGCUUCUUGGAAUCUCACAGCUCCCUGAAACUACAAAACAAUGCCCAGCAGAAGCCACAGGCCUGAUUCUAAGCCAGCCUUCAAAGUUGGGGUUCAUCACUAUGCUUUUACUAAUAUGGCUCCCUCAGAUCCAUAGAAACUGUCUGGGUUGAACAUCUAUUUGAAAACUAAAACUGCCACCAUCCAGCAAGCCAACACAAGCCAGCUCCUAGUUGAAGCAGCAAGGCACCAAGAGGGAGAAACGGGGUGACAAGUGUUGGGUGAGUCAGAUCACCACCUCCUCCCCUCAGACUUUAAUGGAGACACCAGGACCUUGAUCCCAAAGGCUUUGAGAACCACAGUACCCAGCCCAUCUCCCAAACACUGGCCCUGUUUCCAGCUAAGGCCCCACUGAUGCAGGAGUAAUGGUCACUUACUACCGCCACCACCAUCUGCAGACUAAUUGCUACUCAGGAUUAGGUAAGGCCAAGAGCCCUGGAAGUGGCAGCAUCUCUCAGACCCCUAAUCCUGUUUCUAGCCCAGAGCCAGAGUCAGUUCCAGAAGUGAUCCACAUGGAGGUACAGCCAGACUGGAAACCCUCAUACUCCAGCCACAGCUUCUGAAGAUCUGGUCACCGAAGUCCUUGGGCACUGUCACGUGGCUCAACCCCAGCAACUGCUAUGAUUUUAUUAGUUGAAAUGACUUUAAAGAAGAGGCAUUACCAUCUGCUUUGCUGCCUAAUAAUCAUGGAACCGUUCCAUCUGACUUGCAGUGGAAGCUUGUUUUCUCCACUAUUAAAAUAUUAAUUCCUUGAGACCAAGGAAUUUUAGUUUUCUGUUUAUAACCUCAAUAUUUAGUACAGUGCUUUUCAAAUAGUAAGUGGCUACUAAAUGCUAUUUCAGUCAUUCAUUAAUUUGUUCAUUGCUUAUGAACCCCCAUUUUCCCUUGAGCAUUCCCUAACCAGCCAGAAUUAAUUAUGACAUCCUAAGAAUGCAAUAACAUUUACUUAAAUAGAAUGCAAGAUGAUAUCACAUGUAUAACUUAUAUCAUAAUAUUUACCAUCUCAAGGAGGGGUGACAGGAGGGAGGGAGAGAAUUUGGAACUCAAAGUUUAGAAAAUUAAUGUUAAAAAGCCAACUAGGUGGCUCAAUGGAUUAAAAGCCAGAUUUAGAGA